rnacentral:piRNA from 1 species
UGUUAGAGUUUCAGAGGCUAAGUCCCAUUA